CCUCACGGCUCUUUCUUGCGAAUGCCUUAAAAAGGUAUUCAGCGUCCAAAAGGAGUUGUCCUAACUGCCAGAACAUAGAAGGAGGUCAUCUGCAUGCGGGAUUAAAGUGGAGUCUCCUGGGAAUUUAAGUCCCUCAAACUGGCAUUCAGGGUGUGUGAGAAGGAAGUAGGAGCCUUAGUAAAUCCCUGGGGCAUAACAGUCCAGGUAUAUUACUGGUUAUCCCAGGAGAAGGCAAACAAGUACUGGAUUCCUUAUAAAGGGGAAUCCUAAACAACGCACAACACAAAUUGAGGGCUGGGAAAUAUUGGGUGUUGGGAGGAAUAGCAGACAGGAUAGGGCCGGGAUUGGGCACCAGGGCAAAUCUGAGUUUCACGAUUUUGAUAAAUCUCAGAUCUGGACUAAUGAACAUCCUUGCCCAUUGGGGGCUUUGAUGAUCCAAAUGGGAGUUGUGCAUGGACUGCAAGUGGGAGCUCGACGUUUCCUGUCUGAUUAAUCUUGGAUUAUCGGGCAGAGCCUCUCAACGCCUUCUGGCCUUCAGUGCUAUUGGGGAAUCCUGUGGAGGGGCAUGGAAAGAUCGACUUCUAUCUUAAGCGGUAGGCUUCCCCCUCCUCUCGAGGUCUGGCCACUCCCAGACCCAUGUCUUUUUUUCUUACAAUUUCAGCAAGGGUCUUGAUCCAUAGGAGACCGUGAUUUUGGAGCUUGCCAUAGAUUAAAAUUUUCAUGUCCUUCUAGCUCUUUUAACUGAAAUGCCAUAAGCUUGUGUUGUGUAUUUUCCAAUUUUCUGGAAAUAACAUCUUCAUAAUGCUGGGCUGAUGUCUGGAGCUCAGACAUGUUUGCAUUUUGCCAGUUAAUAUUAUUUCUCUGUAACGUGUCAUGAAGCUCUGGUCUGAGGCCAUGUACAAAGCUUGUGGCCAGAGCAGAGGCUGUUAGGGAGGUCAGGUCCAGCCCCAGAUGCUCUUUCCUGUUGUUCCUAAUUGAUGGUGAUGGUCAGCCACAGUUCAUCUCUUUGCUGUUUACAAUUUUGAAUACACAGCCGACCAGUUUUGGUGAGAGGGACCCGAGGGAUGGCUCCUGGUAACUUUCCUCUUACUUCCUUCGUUCUCCAAUGAGAAUCAGGGUCAUCUGAGACCCUUGAGGGUCCUCAGGGAUGGUGCUCCAUUUGGCCUUUCCAAGCCAAAGGGAGGUAUCCCCAGGGCCAGCCAAUAGGUGGAUAAGUUGACAUAAAUUGGGGAAUCUGGAGAGUAUGCUCCCAGAACAAUCUUCAAUUGAAGACUGAAUAAAUCUUCAAGAAAUCUUUCCUUUUUCAUUCGGGACUCAGGAAAAUUCUUUUCUUUUUAAAAUUAACUUAUUAAUUAAUUUGGCUGCAUCGGGUCUUAGUUGUGGCACGCAGGAUCAUUCCUUGAAGUACGCAGGUUCUUCAUGGUGGCGCCCAGGCUUCUCUCUAGUUGUGGGCUUCUCUCUACAGGUUCAGUAGUUGCAGUGCGCGGGCUUCAGAACAUGUGGGCUCGGUAGUUGCGCACAUGGGCUCUCUAGUUGUGGCACGCGGGCUCUAGAGCACAUAGGCUUAAUUGUCCCGCGGCAUGUGGGUUCUUAGUUCCCCAACCAGGGAUCGAACCCACGUCCCCUGCAUUGGAAGGUGGAUUCUUUUUUUUUUUUUUUUUUUUGUGGUACGCGGGCCUCUCACUGUUGUGGCCUCUCUCGUUGCAGAGCACAGGCUCCGGAUGCGGAGGCUCAGCGGCCAUGGCUCACGGGCCCAGCCGCUCCGCGGCAUGUGGGAUCCUCCCGGACCGGGGCACGAACCCGUGUCCCCUACUUCGGCAGGCAGACUCUCAACCACUGUGCCACCAGGGAAGCCCGUGGAAGGUGGAUUCUUAACCAUUGGACCACCAGGGAAGUCCAGGAAAUUUCUUGAUGAUGGCAUGUAAUUCUGAGAGAGACCAAGGUUUAAAUGUUCUCUUUUCUGUUUGCCUCCCUUGAGAAUGGGUAACAACCACACCCUGAGCUUCAUCUACAAGAGGUGGGGAUCUGGAGAACCUUACAGUUUCAGGGAGUUGAGGGGCUGGGGUGCCGCUGGUGAAGGACGUUCUGGGAGAGAGGGACAGAUAUCAUGGAGAGCUGGGAGGGGAACUCCGGGGCACUAUGAAGGUGUCUAGGUUUCCUGGGUCAGAAAACAUUUUCUUUUUAAAUAUUUAUUUAUUUGGUUGCGCUGGGUCUUAGUUGCGGCAGGCGGGCUUCUUUAGUUGUGGCUUGCAGGCUCCUUAGUUGUGGCAGGCAGGCGGGCUCCUUAGUUGUGGCAUGUAAACUCUUAGUUGCGGCAUGCAUGUGGGAUCUAGUUCCCCUACCAGGGAUCGAACCUGGGCCCCCUGCAUUGGGAGCGCAGAGUCUUAACCACCACGCCGCCAGGGAAGUCCCAGAAAACAUUUUCUGAAGACAUUAUUUAAGAACUUCAAUAGUUUGAAUGAGGUUUGAAUCAUUUAGCUGUUUUCGGCUUCUUCAUACCGAGUGAAGAAAGUGGACCACUGUGCAUCAGAAAUUUUAGUUCCCUUUUGCCCUAGGGCUUCCCCUUGGGUGGACUAAUUUGAGCAGAUCCCAGGAGCCCCAGAAGGGCUGUGUUAGCUUAAGAGAGUUUGUGGUCAAGUUUUGCCAACAAAAGCAGACAGUACUAGGGCCAUAGAAGGAUGUGGCCAGCAGGAGUCUGAGGAGAGUUCCCGGUGAUUAAGAAGCCCCCAUGUUCUUGACUAAUAGUGCCUUUACACGUACGAACAGAAAAACAUGGGAUUCUAACCCAGCCUGUCCCUUAUAGGGACCAGCCUCGUACCAACAGAAAAGCCUAGGACUCUGACCUAGCUUGUUACAGAGAAACCCAGGACUCUAACCUGGCUUUGGCUUGUCUAGGGCUCUAACCCAGUUUCUAGAGUAUACUCUGAGUCCUAAGAAUCAAGAUCUGUCCUCAUUCCGCGUCAAUGGACAUUUAUCCAGAGCACUGGGUUUUGGAGUCGGCCUCACCACUGGAUCCCCAAACCAGCAAGCAGACCGGAGACAAAACGUGUAGGUGCGGUGUGUGCGACCCUCUGGCCAGCAGGCCUGGCAGGCCAGGUGACCCCACCCUGUACUGAGGCAUCGCUAAGGCCUCUCCCAGCCACCUUAGACGUCGUAACAGAGACUCCCGAGAGCACCGCCAAACUGUGAAGCAGGCUGGGGAAGAUGGGGGCAGAGGAAAGUCAUCUUUGCACCUAGUUGAAAAGAAGUGGUCCAAAACAAAAUCCAGAAUAAAAAUUGCGAUUUUUAUUUGCUGAACCUAAUUUUAAACUAAAACAUCAAAGUGUCUCUUCCUCCAUCACUAGAAAUCAGAUGGCAACUGGUCCUUUGCUCCCCGAGAGGGCUCGAAGAAAAACAAAAACCCCUGUGCAGCCCCUGGCCUUUCCUCUGCAGCCCCUGGGGAUGCCCGCAGGCCACAGCAGGCAGCUGGAGGCAGCAGAAAGACAACUCUGCCUGGUGAAGGCUCCUCUCUGCUUCUUUGGGAAGCUGAUGGGAAGCCAGAGGUCACAGAGCGUUGGAGGCCUGGCUUAAAGCCACCAGUCAGGCCAAGAUGAAACAUCUGCUCAAGUCUCCCCAGGCACCUGGCUGGGGGUGAGUGGGAGGAAGGAAUGGAGAAAACUGAUGCUAAACCACAAAUUAGCACCCUGGGCCUUGGCCCUGAAAUGGCCUCUGCUGGCAUAGGAGGGGGUGAGACUACAAACAAAUAAAUAAAAGCGACACCGUGUCAAGGAGGGAGGAUGACAGGCCCGUGGAAGCACGCUGUGUCAGGCUUGAGCAGAGAUGAGCCAGGGCAUGAUGGCUUACAAAACUCCUCAUCUGGGGCCAAUGGCAUCAAAAUGCAGACAGCCCACGGGGCUGUGGGGAAGGGGCCAUUUGUUGGAGGGACUACAGUGGGGAUUCAGGCUGAGUCUGGGUGGGCUCACCAGGUGACCCCCCAUCUUUUGUUGUGUCUUGUUUUAGGCAUAACCACCACAGACCUAGAACUAGGAAGCCCUGGCUGCCCUCUACUGGUGAUUUCUGGGGAUGAUCGCAACGCAGCAGCACCCAACCUGCAACCCCAAAAGGGCCAAAAGAGAACCAGCUCCCGGGGAGGGCCAGAAGCGGCUGCACAUUUGGCCGGGCCUCCCAGUGGUGGGACUGGCAGCGUCCCCAUCAGUCUGAGUGGGUUCCUCCAUCUCUGCCUGGCUGCAGAGGGCGGGGCCCAGGACAACGAGGGCCUCUGGUGCUCACUUCAGAGGCAUCGAGAAGAAUUUGUUCCCAGACUUGCAGCGGAUCUGCUCGGCGUGCGCACGCAGCAACGUCUCGGAGUCUUCAAACUCACCCACGAUUUCCUUAAACCAGGAGAGGACCAUCACGUUAAGGGGAAUCAGGGACCCAGAGGGCACUGCAAACAAAGCCAGCCUACUGAAAUCCUUCAGAGGUUAGGCCUGCUCGGGGGAGGCUGAGGGCCACGCAGGCGCCAGGCUCUCCAGGUUACCUUGUCUAAUCAGCUCUGCAGUCUUGUGAGGUCAGUCCUAUCAUCCCAACUUUGCAGAUAAGGAAAUGGAUGCUCAGAGCCCUGGACCACAGAAUCCAAUAAAACCAGGCUUGGCACCUGGGUCUACUGGAGCCUGAGACCGGAGCUCCUUGCUGCCUCCAGAAUGAUGAGACCAAGAGCAGAUGUGGCUACUUGAUGAUGGCCCACGGGCUGUGUCCCGUCUGCACAUGUGUUGUCUGGCUCGCAAAAUGUUUUCUUAAAAAAUACAUAUUGGUUGCCAGCAUUUGAAAAUAGAGGGAUUACCCACAAAAAUUAAGAUUUCUGGCUUCUCCUGAAAAACAGAAGUACUUGCAACACGAGGUCCACAUUCCUGCAUGGCAGCUGCCUGCACCAGGGGUGAGUACCGGCUUCUCUGAGGGCACUGACGGGAAAGUGAAAGAUAUCCCCUACUUAUCACAAUACGAGAAAGGCUGUGAGGGUGGACGUUCUUUAGACCUGGUGCGUUUCACUCAUUUCCAGCACCUGCCAGGCCCCUGGGAGCACCCGAGCCUUUGACCUCUGGGUGAGGGUCUAGGACUUCAGGGGAGGCCCGCAGCAUCCUCUCAGAUUAGUGUUCUAGGGCAGGGCUUCUCAAAUUUUAACGUGCACACAAAUCCCUAGCGAUCUUGUUAAAUUCUGAUUUCUUAGAUCUGGAUUGGGGCUUGAGUGAGUGUUGCUAAUAAGUUCCCAGGUGGUCUGGGACUGCACUGUGAGGCGCAGGGUAAGGUGUUGGGGUCUCUGGCUAUGCCAGUUAUUUCCUAUGCCAGGAUUCAGGUUUGCAUGCCUAAUCCUCAGCGCCUGUCAGCUCCCCUCCAUCCCCCAGCUUCUGGGGUUCAGCACCUUCCAUGCUCCUGCCCUGGGAAUUCACCUGUAGUUCCCGCAGGCACUGCCCUUCCAGCUGGAGAUGUGCAUCACCCACGCACCAGGCCAGACUGAUGUGGAAUGAGGGGUCCUGCAGAGGAACGGCGGGGAGACAGGUCGUGGCAGGCUCAGACAUCAAAGCAGCUCUGUGACAGAGUUGUCACCGUAUCCCUGCUGCAUCCCUGACCUGAUUCAUGGGAGACUAGAUCCUCAGUGUUGACCCCAAGCACCCUCCACAGACAGAUAAAAUAGCCCUGGAUUGGUCCCUGCUAUGGACUGAAUUGUGUCCCCCAAAUUCAUAUAUUGAAGCCUUAACCCCCACUGUGAUGGUAUUUGGAGAAGGGGCCUUUGGGAGGUAAUUAGGUUUAGAUGAGGUCCUAAAGGUGGGGCCCUCAUGAUGGGAUUAGUGCCCAUAUAAGAGAUGGCAGAGAGCUGCUUCCUCUCUCUUUCCAUCAUGUGAGGACACAGUGAGAAGAUGGCCAUCUACAAGCCAGGAAGAGAGGCCUCAACAGAAACUGACCGUGAUGGCACCUUGGUUUUGGACGUCUAGCCUCCAGAACUGUGAGAAAGUAAAUUUCUUUUUUAAAAUCAUUUAUUUAGUUAGUUUUGGUUGCAUUGGGUCUUUGUUGCUGUGUGCGGGCUUUCUCUAGUUGCAGCAAGUGGGGGCUACCCUUCGUUGCAGUGUGCGGGCUUCUCAUCGCGGUGGCUUUUCUUGUUGCGGAGCCCAGGCUCUAAGCACGCGGGGUUCAAUGGCUGUGGCGCUCGGGCUCUGUUGCUCUGCGGCAUGUGGGAUCUUCCCGGACCAGGGCUUGAACCCGUGUCCCCUGCAUUGGCAGGUGGGUUCUUAACCACUGUGCCACCAGGGAAGCCCGAGAAAGUAAAUUUCUAUUGUGUAAGUCAUCCAGUCUAUGGUAUCUGGUUAUGGCCGCCUGAGCUAAGAUAGUCCUGUUCUCAGAGGCUCUCCUUUACAUAUCAUAGAGAGUCAUUACCUCUGGAAUGUGGAAGAGAACACACAUCCCAGAUUUAAUGUUUUCUGAUCAAAAAUAUUUCAAGAGAUGACAUACUUUUUAAGAUGAACAAAAACCAAAAUGUCUAAAAUUAUAAAACUAUAAAUUAUCUCCACUCAAAUUCAUACUUAUAUCUCUCAGCAUGAUUUUAAAAGAAUAUAUCAAGCAAAACCACUGGCCCUUUAAAGCCUUGAUAUUCGACUUGGAGUUCAAGUUCCCCUAGAGGGCACGGGGCAAGGCACAGGAAGGUAUGCGAAGCUGCAACUCUACCUGGAGUGUCAACGUGACUAAAAAGUAUUGGGGAAAACUACUUCCUAAAAAAUAUAAAAAUAAACAUGGAUACAUUAUAGAGUAGAAGACAUAAAUCUCAUGCAUAUUGAAGAGAUAACAGAAGAUUUGUAAGAAAUGUUGGACCUCCACUGGGCUGCAUCCGACUACACCUCAGACCCUCAACUCUCCAGGGUUGUGUGUCCUCUGAGGGCUGGCCGAAUGGACACUUCCCAUGGGCAAGUUCUAGAGGGCUCUUCGGUUUGCCUCUAACAAGGGUUUCUUUAAGACUGAUUUUAUUCCUAUUAGAGAUGGGUCAGUGGAGAGAAAAAGACGCUGCUGAUUACCUGGUAGAAAGUGGUGAGGUCAAACUCCUUCAUGACCCUGUCCACCUCUGAAACCAGGUCCAGGAAUUGGGUGUGCCCCGAGGUGACCUCGAGUCCAACAAAGGUCCUGGGGGGAGACAGAGGUGGAGACCACACGGGCAUGAGACGCAGCCUGAGAACAGAAACCAUCCUCGAGGGGGCAGAGGAUGCGACAGAGGAAAGCCGGGAGGGAGGGAGGUCAGUUCGUUUCCCUGCUCUCCGAGCUGGCUCUCCAUCCUUCCCUGACUCUAAUCGCACGCACAUCCCCCCUCCUUCCCCAGGGUCUAAGAACCCUAGCAGGGCCGUCUUCACCUGCUGCUGCCAAGGCUAUGGACCCCCAGGCUGUGGCGCCCAGGCUUGCUGGCCUAGCUCCCAUGUCGGACUCUUUCUCCAGGGCUUCCCUCUCUGGCACUUCCCUCUCCCUCCCGUAAGCACCCUCUAAUCUCUAAAACCCCUCCCUUGAACCCACACCCUCAGCCAGCCCCCAUCCCCUGCCCGGUAAAACGUGCGUUCCGACGAUUUGUCUCCCUCGGCAGUCUCUCACGCCUCUCCGCCCAUCUUCAGUCCACUCGGCCAGGAACCGCUCCCGUCAAAGCUGCCAACCACCUGUGUUCCUGAACUCAGAUACUUGACUCCUCCCUCCCUGAAGCCCUUUUUUCUCUUGGCUUCCAAGAGACCACCCACCACACCGUCCUGGUGUGACGCCACCUCUGGUCUCCUGUCCAGUCUCCUCUGCCGCUCUCUCCUUUCCAGCCUCUAAAUGGUCAGGGGCUGCAGAGCCGGCGUCGCCUGCGCUCCCCCGCAGGCUGAUCUCACCCAGCCCUGCUUUCAGUAUCACACAGCCCGAUGGCUCCCACAUUUCUAUCUCCGGCUGGCACCUCUCCUGUAUACCCACUUGUGUGUGCGACUCUUCCACCCGGGGGUCUCACAGGCGGCAAAAUGCACCAGGUACAAAGCAGAACUUCUCCUCUUCCUCCCACAGGUGUUUCCCAUCACAGACAAUGGGGCCAUUUAUCUAUAUUUACCUAGCUGUUCAAACCCCAAACCCGGGAAUCUGCUUUGAUUCUUCCCCUUACUGUGCACAGACCCAACCCACUGGUAACUCCAGUUGAUUCUACCUCCAGUAUAUCGGGAAUGUGUCUGCUUCUUGGCUCUUCCACUGCCAUCGCCUAAGCCAGGCCACCACUGGCGCCUCACCUGUCUCCUGUCUGCUCUCCCUGCAUCCAACCUUGCUCUUUUAGAUCUUUUCUCCACUCAGGAGCCACAGACACAGACACGAUAGGGCCGGACUGACGUUUACAAACGUAAAUUGGAUCACGUCUCUGCUUAGAUCCCUCCGAUGGCUUCUGUGACACUGAAAAUCCAAACUCCUGACCUUGACCUUGAAGGCCCUGCGGGAGUUAACCCUGCCUGACUCAUCUCCUCACACUCUCCCACGUGCUCCCCAAGUUCUGCUUCACUGGCCUCCUCCAACAUGCCAGGCUCUUUCCUCCUCAGUCACCUCCUUGGCUGUGUCCUCUGCUUGGAGGCUCCUGGGGUAGCUCUUCCCAAGGCUGAUUCCUUCUUGUCCUCAUGUCACCAGCAAAUGCCACCUUGCUAGCGCCCUCCUUGGCCACUUGCUCCAGACUAUCGUUUCACACGAUAGUUAUUAACGAUCUCAUUUCCUUGUUUAUUGUCUGUCUCCCCUGCAGAAUGUGAGAUCCCAUAGAGCAGAGACUAUGCCGACCUUUUCACUGCUGAUCUGUAGUGUACAGCAAGUGCCUGGCACCGGGAGGUGUUUAACAAGUUUGUGCAGCAUAGAAUGAAUGAAUGAAUGAGCGAAUGAGUACUCUUCUUAGAGGUGCUGAGAGCAGAAGGCAGCUCAGAUCCAGUGAGUGGAUCUGACAGGGAGGCUUGCUUUGAAGCCUUGAUAACAACAGUUUCUUAUGUUCAUCUCAUCCUUGAAUGCUUUUAUAAAACUUGUUUCGUUCAUCUGAGCUUCACAACUGCCCAAUGAUGGAUGCUUGGAAAUGGGACAGGAUGUGAUGGAUGAUGUGACAGCUUGGAAAUGGCAGGUCACAGAGGUUGAAGGUUAACAAAAACCAAUUCUGAUCCAGUCUAAGCAACAAGAACAUUUCCGUGUGCCUGGGCUGAGCUUGGGGAUCCUCAUACAAGUCUGUGAGGCAGGUGCUACAAUGACACCCAUUUUACACACACAGAAACUGAAGCUUGGUGAGGCUGAAUUUGAUGGCAGACAGUGGACUUCUUGGCCUCCAUAACCACAUAAGCCAAUACCUAUAACAAAUCUCCUCUUAUGUGUAUCUGUAUAUAUCUUAUUGAUUCUGUUUCUCUGGAGAACCCUGACUAAUACAUCAACCAACACCCUUUCUCCUGGUGAUCUUAUAUAGGAGGACUGCUCUCCCAUUUUGUGCUGGUAGAGUGGUCAACCUGCCCCCACCCAGGGGUGUGUACUUGACAGGCCUGGACAAUCAGAGCAUAGCAUUCCCUCAGUCACAGCCAUAGAAUCAAAGGUGCACUACCCACUCUUGGUCAUCCUAGGCUCAACCAGUCAAACCUGAAGAGGCCACCCGGCCCAGCUUCCUUCAGGAUACAGGCUAGGAAACACUGCACCAGCAGGGCAGCACCAGGGAGGGCCAACCCAGUGGUCCAGGGGCUGUUCCCUAAAUGAGCAAGAGAACAAGCUAUAUCCACCCACCCCAGCCACCCUGGGGAGCAAUACCUCUUGUAAUAGCCCUUGCGCAAAGUUUCCAGAGGCCCAGCAAGGGACCUGCCUAGGUAGGGAACCACCGCAUGCAGGGAGGCCCAAGCCAUGGUUUCCCAGGAGGGGCUUAGUUCACUCACAGUCUUCCCAGCCCAGACAUGACGUGCUCAUAAGUCAUUUUUACCAUAAGUGACGUGGCCCAAGAACACAUCUGGCAUUCUACCUUUAUCCAGGGACACAGCUAGAAGCAGGAUAACUGAAGCAUUCUCAUGUAGAAGGGGAAAGGACUUGCUGCCAUCUGACGUCUCCCGGUCCCAUGUAUGAAGCCAGUGCUACCUCUAAACAUUUUAGUUACACCAGCCUAUAAAUUCCCCGUUUAAGCCACUUUUGGUUGGAUUUCUGGCACCGGCGAUCAAGAGGGUCCUGACUAACAUACAUGACUCAAUAAAAAGAGGGAUGGGGGCUGGAUUAGGGAAAGAGAUGAGUUUUAGUCCUGAGUCGCUGGCUAACUGACUGAAUUGGAGCAGAUCCCUUCCUCCUCUGGCCCCGAGUAGGGGCUACACAAAAUGGGCAGUCCUCCAAUGGGGCAGAGUAGUUCUAUGGAAUUCCUGGGCCUCGGGCCUCCUGAACUGCGAGGGUGGGGCUUUGGCUAAAAGACUUCUGUUUUUAUCUCUCUUACCCAGCUACACAUCAGGGAUCUGUGUAACACCUCAUCAGAAGAAAGGACUCUGCAGAUAAGACCAGGAGUAGAAAACCACCACCUGGAUGGCUUCUUAGGCUCCUACUGGAACCAACAUUCAGAGGAUCCAGAGGAGGAUUUCUGGGCUCUCUCUCUCCUGCUCAGUCAUUCAACAAACACCCAUUUGAUGCCUAUAGUGAGCAAAGCACCUGGACAAAAGCUGUGGGGUAAUUCAGAGAGCAGCCGCAUUCCUGGCCUGCAGGAACUUGGGCUCCAAGCGGGAGAUGGGACAUGGGGAUGACUGAAUAUGGAUAUGAGGAUGAGUGGAACGAGCACUGGGGUGUAGACAAGCACAGGACAGCAGGGUCCCUGGGCCUGAAGAAUUCUGGAGGAGAUACCAAUUGGGACAGCCUCAGUGAAGGAGCAGUGCUUUGAUCUGGCCAAGUCUCGAAGGAGGGGCAUUUCUAGUGGAAAGAAGAGGUAUGAAAUAGUCAAGGGAAAAGAAGCCUAGGCUGGCAGAUAAAACCAGAGUGGGGGUGAGCUCUGAUCGUUCGGCAAGUGCCACGUUGAGGGUAUGCGUGAUCUCAUUCACUCUCACAAGUCCCCUCUGAAGGAGCCACCACCACUCCCCUGACCCGCACACAGGUAAGGCUCGGAGGCUGCCAGAGCUUACGUGGCACGCCCAAGGGCACAUGGGAUGAAGCGCGCAGCAGGCGGCUCUGGGAGAUGUUCGGUGUGCUAACCUUUAGGUUUGCCUGCUUGAAGGGGUAGUGCAUCCCACAGGUCCAUCCCCACAAGAGCUCAGGACAGGAAGAGGAGCCUUGAAGGGGAGGGAAGCACUGGGCACUCACCUCUGGAAGGAGGCCACGCGGUCUUUCAGAGCCUGCACGAAGGGGAGGAUCCAGUGAUGGCGCAGAACCACGCUCUGGGACAGGCUGAGGUGGAAGGCCUCCAUCCUUACCAGCCGGGGGACGUAUGUCUGUGCGUGGGGCAGCAGCACGUCAAGCAGGUCCAGGAACUCCUCCCUGGCUUCAUCUGGAGGGGAGGAGUGGAGAGGGUGGGCCAUUCUCUUAGCCAGGGCGGCAUGGCUGGAUGAAGCCCAGAAGGCGGAGAAAGGCUUUUGAGAGUAGCCUAUGUCUAUGUAUUUCGAAUAAUACUUUAAUAUGCAUUUAUGGCUACAGAAGUAACACAUACAUGCUCUUUGAAAAGAAUUCAAGUGAGAAAAGAAAUAUGUGACAGAGAAAGUAGGGGCCCCUGAUAUCCUAUCACGUACAGCAGUGGUCUCCAAACUACUGUGAUUGCACAGGCCCUUAGUCAAACACGCUUGCCCACAUACCCACAAUAAAUGUGUAUUUAUUUAUAAAUUACAAACAUGCGCUACACUGCAAAAUUGUGUGUGUUAUAAAAUAUACACUUGGAACAACAGAAAUUUUAAAAGAUGAGAUAAAGAGAAACACAUUAAAAGGUUUUAAUACUUUUCUCUCUAAUGGAUCAUCUUGAUCCCGUCCCCAGGCACAUACAGCCCACUUUCAAGAUACUACCCUAGAGAUAAAGGCUGUCAAAUGUGAUGCCUAUUUCCCCAGCCUUUUCUCAGUGCAUGUACUAACGUAUAUAUCUUAUUUGUUAAAAAAGAUGAGGGCAUACCAGUUCUUCCAUUGGCUUUCUCCAUACAACACUACAUGUUGGAUAGCCUUCCUCUCAUUACAUAAAUCAAGCCCAUAAUUACAGCUCCACAGUAACCCAUAAUCAGAAACAGUUCAUUUUUUUAAUCAGACAUUUAGAAUCUCCUGAUUGUUCAUAAAGACAAAGAAUGCAACAAGGACCACCACUGUAUUUUCACAGAUUAUUCAUUUUUUUUAACCAAACAUGUGACUAGAGCUGUAUGGUUAAUAGUCUGCUCACAACUAAUAACUUACUGGAUUUGCUCAAGUGCCCUGUAGAGUAUGCAGUAGAGAGAAUCAUUCUCAUUCUGUGGAUGGGGAAAUGGAGGUUCCAAGAGUUUACCUGAUCUAACACAAUGUAAUAAGAGCCACCACAUUCUCCGUGUAUCAUGCUAAGAACUUGACAUAGAUUAUCUGAUUUAAUCUUCACAAAAGUCCUAGAGGAUAGGUAUUACUACUAUCCCCAUUUUAGAGAUGAGGAAACUGAGGCUCUGAGAAGUCAGCAACUUACUAAAGGGCACACAGAGCAGUGGGUACUGGAGUGAGGUCAGACUCUGAACCCUGGGCAUUUUCUGCCUGCCACUCACUCAUUAGGGCUAGGGUUGGGUGGGACUGGAGGCCAGCACACCGACAGCCCUCUUUGAAAUAAAGUACCAGCUACAGCUGCAGUCUGGGAUGGCCCUGACACUCUGCCCUAGACCCUCCCUUGGUCACAUCCUCAUGAGCAGGGAGAACAGUAUACACAGGGUUAGUAAAAAAUAUUUCAGGCAACGAAUUCAAAACUGAACUGUACAGCACAGGGAACUCUGCUCAAUAUUAUGUAACAACCUAAAUGGGAAAAGAAUUUGAAAAAGAAUAGAUAAAUGUAUAUGUACAACUGAAUCACUUUGCUGUACACCUGAAACUAUCACAACAUUGAUAAUCAACUACAUCCCACUGUAAAAACAAAGGCCAGAAAACCUGAAACCAAGUUAACAGAAAAAUUCCCUAGUUUUUGAAACUUGUUCUCUCUCUGUUGAGUUAAUCUCUUUCCCACCACCAGUGUCAGAGGUUUCUGGCUUCUUCCUCCUUGUUGGGGCCAGCUUCCUCCCAUAAGGGGCACCUGUCAGUGUCAGCCACGUGCCUGUCACGCGUUACUCACAUGGUACAUAGACGUGGGUGGCCCAGUUGCCCCGCUCGUGGGGAAAGGUGCGCAACCGGCCCCCAUGUUUUGUGCUAUCAUCCUCAGGCCUCUCCUCGGUGCCUGGGAACAUGUCCAGCACACUGUCGGGUACUGGCAACUUCUGGCUGGGAAGGGGG